GGAAGCGAUAAUAGACAUUGCUAUACCUACUUUCAAUGGAUCACUAAAGUUAAGCAACGUUUUGCGUGGUUAGUAUCAGGAUGGGUGACCUUCUGGGCAAUCGCGAGUUACUGGCU
rnacentral:rRNA from 1 species